AACGAACGCUGGCGGCAUGCCUAACACAUGCAAGUCGAACGAGACCUUCGGGUCUAGUGGCGCACGGGUGCGUAACGCGUGGGAACCUGCCCUUAGGUUCGGAAUAACUCCCCGAAAGGGGUGCUAAUACCGGAUAAUGUCUUCGGACAAAAGAUUUAUCGCCCUUGGCGGGGCCCGUGUUGGUUUAGCUAGUUGGUAGGGUCAAAGCCUACCAAGACGACGAUCAAUAGUUGGUCCGAUAGGAAGCUCAGCCCCACUGAGACUGAGACACGGCCCAGACUCCUACACGAUGAUGCAGUGCGGUAUAUUGAACCCUUGCCGAAGUCCUGAUGGAGCAAUGACGUUAGAGUUAUGAUGGCCUUAGAGUUGUAAAGCCCUUUUACCCGGGAUGAUAAUGACAGUACCUGGUGAAAGAGCGACGGCUAACUCCGUG
rnacentral:rRNA from 1 species